CCCGUUAGUCGUCUUUAACGACAAGCAUAUGAUGAGGAGGAUACAACACAUGUCCAGUGUUCUUGUUCUGUUUACAAGAUGCUGCUUAGCCAUGUACGCGAAAGUGACAUUGAAAAUCAGGACACAGAAGAAACCUAUCUAGACACAUCAGGUGUUACAUGCAUGCAUGCCCGGUUUGUGAAAGAGUAUGUACUGCAAGAUUAUCACAGUCUCUUCAAUUCAGAAUUUCAACCUGAGUCUGACAAAGAUAAAAAAAGUUAAGGGAUUCAAUGUUAGUGCAAAAUCAGGAAAUAGUGCUGGUUGCAGAAUCUCCUCGUGUAACCAAAUAUUCAGUAAAAGGAAGAAAUGAAAGUGUUGAAUUUGUACAUGUCAACAAUGAAAACUGGACUAUUUCAUGCCAAUCAGGACUUUGUUCUGUUGGAAAAUCUAAAACUGUAAAGAACUUAGAGGGUUCCCAAAGGCUCUGUCCACAUUUAUUGACAAUGAAAGAAAACCAACAACUCUGGAUUCCUUCAACACCAACUGAGAGUACUGAGGAACUAAUGAGCUCUUCUUCAUCUACAUUCACUGAAAAGGUAUGUCAAACCGUGCAACAAAACCGUCUUUUGUAUCUUAUUAUGAUAGAUAUAUGGAUUGUUGUUAAAUUCACAUCUGAUGCAUCCAUUUUCCUUAGUAGUAAUAAAUAUAAUAUGUCAAAUACCGAUAAAUACUGUUCAGGAAUAUAUGGUUGAUAAAAGGCACAUUUCUUUCCAUUCACUCAAAAUUGCUGAUUUUAUCCUUGGAAUAGUUUCCUUUUAACAUGUUCAUAAAACUUGAGAUCGGUUUUUAUUUCUACACUUUUUGGUAUUGCUAAUGUUUGCACUUUCAUCACCAGUCAAACAUCAAUGUCGACACUGGCUUAUGGGACUAUGGAUCACUGAGUAAACAUAUUCCAACUCCUCAGAGUUGCCCAAAAUACAGGGAAAAUAUCCACUUGCAUGAAAAAUGGUGCUUUCAGCACCAAACAGAUAAAUCCGGUUUUGUCAGUAAUAUCUUGCUUUGUCCUGCACUAACAGAAAACUGUUCAUGUGGGGGCACCUUCCAUGAUGUACAAACACCAGAUGGCAUUAACCUACUACAGCAGUACAGCACAAAAACAACACUUUACACCAGACUAGCCCCUAUUGAGCAACUGUGUGCUACAGAAAGUGCAGUAAUGGCAAAUGUUUGCUGUAUUAUACAGGGGAAGAGGAAGGCAUUCACUUUAGGAGCAAAGAAACCGCCAUUGUUGAUGAACUCUGUCAUGACUUUUUGUAUAGAAUUAAAGCUUUUCAAGUGACUUCCUUACACAAUUAUACCUGCUUACCAGGAUGCACAUCGUAACCCUUAAUCUUACAAUCC